rnacentral:rRNA from 1 species
GAUGAACGCUGGCGGCGUGCCUAAUACAUGCAAGUCGAGCGAACAGACGAGGAGCUUGCUCCUCUGACGUUAGCGGCGGACGGGUGAGUAACACGUGGAUAACCUACCUAUAAGACUGGGAUAACUUCGGGAAACCGGAGCUAAUACCGGAUAAUAUAUUGAACCGCAUGGUUCCAUAGUGAAAGCCGGUUUUGCUGUCACUUAUAGAUGGAUCCGCGCCGGAUUAGGUAGUUGGUAAGGUAAAGGCUUACCAAGGCGACGAUGCGUAGCCGACCUGAGAGGGUGAUCGGCCACACUGGAACUGAGACACGGUCCAGACUCCUACGGGAGGCAGCAGUAGGGAAUCUUCCGCAAUGGGCGAAAGCCUGACGGAGCAACGCCGCGUGAGUGAUGAAGGUCUUCGGAUCGUAAAACGCUGUUAUUAGGGAAGAACAGAUGUGUAAGUAACUAUGCACGUCUUGACGGUACCUAAUCAGAAAGCCACGGCUAACUACGUG